UACACGAGCGGCGAACGGGUGAGUAACACGUGAGCAACCUGCCCCUGACUCCGGGAUAAGCGGUGGAAACGCCGUCUAAUACCGGAUACGACCACCGGGUGCCUGCCUGGUGGUGGAAAGUUGUGUCGGUCAGGGAUGGGCUCGCGGCCUAUCAGCUGGUUGGUGGGGUAACGGCCUACCAAGGCGAUUACGGGUAGCCGGCCUGAGAGGGCGACCGGCCACACUGGGACUGAGACACGGCCCAGACUCCUGCGGGAGGCAGCAGUGGGGAAUAUUGCGCAAUGGGCGAAAGCCUGACGCAGCGACGCCGCGUGGGGGAUGACGGCCUUCGGGUUGUAAACCUCUUUUACCACCAACGCAGGCUCGGGGUUUUCUCCGGGUUGACGGUAGGUGGGGAAUAAGGACCGGCUAACUACGUGCCAGCAGCCGCGGUAAUACGUAGGGUCCGAGCGUUGUCCGGAAUUAUUGGGCGUAAAGAGCUCGUAGGCGGCGUGUCGCGUCUGCUGUGAAAGACCGGGGCUUAACUCCGGUUCUGCAGUGGAUACGGGCAU
rnacentral:rRNA from 1 species